rnacentral:lncRNA from 1 species
GGCCGAGCCAGGAAAUCCUCCGGCGCGGGGCCCCAGGCUCUCCUGCUUCGGUGCUGGGGACAGAGGAAGGAGAGGGUCAAAGCCUGGGAGGGCCGCGUCCUGGAGGAUGUAUAGAAAUAGCGUCCCCUGCCCAGGGAGGGCUGCCGGAGGGAAGUGGGGCUUCCUGCCAUUCACGGCCCGCUCCGUCCAGCCAAGUUCAACAGCCCGGCCUCCAAAGUGUGCGGAUCCGGACCCGAAGGCCAGUGCACCUGCCCUUCAACCCCGAACGCCCAAGACUACGGGGACAGGGACAGGGACAGGCAUGCCACCUGGAGAGCAUCAGAGCCGCGCACAGGACCCCCCCCCCCGGAGUGGCUCUCGGCUCCAGGCCUCCCCUCUCAGGCCUCGGCUUCCCAGGUACCAGCAGGCCUAACUGCAGUGACCACUGCAGACCACUAUCCAGCAGGGGCAGGCGGCCUGGUGAGGCUUCAGCUCCAGGGACCUUGAUCCAGCUGUAUGGACCCUGAAGCGGACACUUUGCAUUGCAUGUGGCACCAGGGCACAGUCCCACAUACCCCUGCUGUGGCCUCGCCCAGGCAGAGCAGCUGCCCACCCUGUCCUGACCACACGACUUGCUUUGAUCCAUGGGACAUCAGAGCGGAGGCAGGGAGGGCCCUCUUGCCCUUUGGUCAAUUGGUAUGUGAAGGGGUCUCGGUGGCCAUGGUCCCCUCAGACCAGGCCCAGGCAGCUGCCGGUCCGAGGGGGAGGACAGACACAGGGAUCGGACUCAAACCCAAGUUGCCACCAGAGCCUGGACCCGAGGCCAGGGGUCCAGCCAGCCCAGCCACACUGCAGCCGACCCAGGGAGGGCCCUUGAAUGUCAGAGGAAACACUGUUACGUGGUGCGAUCUCGUCGAUGACUGAUGUAAAUUUUACUUUGUGAAAGAGAGAAGUGACCUGCUCAGGGUCACGAGACUGGUGGACAGCAAGUCAGGGCAGAGAGGGCCUUCGGGGGGCUCCGAGUGGCCUCUCCAACACCCCAAUCUGGUGACAUUUGAUGCUCAGUCUACACUCCCAGCAAGUCUGCACUCACUUUGAUGUGGAGGCGGACUCCAUUGGAGUCAGGGAGGCCAGGAGGCGGGAGGAGAAGCAUCCGGGCCCCUGUGGCUGCUCACUGACUCGCCCCUGGUGCAGCUCAGGUGCAGUCCUCCUGCCCUCUGGGCGUGACCCCCCACGAGGUCCCUAUUCCCAGCUGGCAGAUCUGCUAUGGCGGCUCCGUAAGUGAUGGGAAUGGACGGAGGCAGGAAUGAAUGAAUGAGGGAGGGGUUCUGUGGCCAUUCGCUGUGGGAUCCAGGCGUCCUGGGCAGCCCAGGGCUGACCCAGGCACAGGUCCUGAGGGAACGAGCAGCCUCGUGUUCAGAGCCUCAGUUUCCAGGUCUGUAAAGGGGGACACGGGGACCAGCUCUGCUCGUCACAGCGUGGGGCUGGAACACCCCUGGCAGGGUCCCUGCCUGUGCCCCGCUACUGCAGCUUUCAAAUAAGCAAAGGAGCAAAUUCCAGACGCGAGCAAGUUUGCAGGGAGACGGUGUCCCUGCUGGAGAGCCCUGUCCCCUAACCCUAACCCUCUGCUCAGGAGGUGGGAGGGGACGGAUCAUGGGACGGGAGUUGAUGGUUGUCUUUAAAAAACAACAACCUUCUUCUGCAACAGGAAGGAGUUGGCGCGGCCC